AUCUUAAGAGAAGUCGUGGGAACAUGUAAAAGAGCAUCGCUUGGUGAUUGCUGCACGGGAUAUAUGUACAAUUUUAAGGGGAGUAAAUGCGAAGAACGCUCCAUUGGACUUACGGGACCAAAUUGUUCUUUACAAUGCCGCUACCCUAGUUAUGGCCGCCUUUGUCAACAACAAUGUGAUUGCACUGAAAUAUACUGUAAUAAAAUCGUCGGCUGUGUCAGCAUUGAAAAAGGAGAUCCCUCCAAACCGGUACUCAUUGUCUUUG